UAUAUUACUUUAUUUAUUUUUGGGCAGAGGUUAUCAAAGGCAAUGGAAAGCAUAUUAGCCAAACAGUCAAGCUGUGGGUCGAGCAAUAUGAAACGGAUUCAAAAUCUGCAAUGGUUGAACUCUUGACAAUGCUCUUUAAGGCAUGUGGUGCCAUAUAUACUAUAAAAGGCUAACUUCUAGAUGAGAUUGAUGUCGAUGAUGUUGUUGUUGCACUGGUCGAGCUUGCUAGACGAGGGGAAGUUGAAGAUUACCAAAGCUCAAAAAAGGAGUUUAAGAAUUUCAAAGAUAAUCUUCAGUUAUUCUGGGACAGAUUGGUACGUGAGAGUCAACAUGGCCCUCUCUUUGAUCAGGUUCUGUUCGACAAGUGCAUGGACUAUAUAAUAGCUUUGUCAUGCACUCCUCCAAGAGUCUAUCGUCAAGUUGCUUCUAUUAUGAGACUUCAACUCGUCACAUCCUUCAUAACUGUUGCUGAUGUCCUCAGUGCUCAACGUGAAACAACUCGUAGGCAGUUAGAUGCUGAAAAAAAGAAAAGAGCCGAGGGACCUCGUGUUGAGUCACUAAGCACAGGGUUUUCAGUGACUCAUGACAAGAUAACAAUGCUACAGGAGAUGAUG